rnacentral:lncRNA from 1 species
UUGGAGAGCGCAGUGGCCAAACACCGCCAAACACCUCCCAAACGAGGCGGCGGAGCGGAGAGAAGCGGCGCAGAGCUGCGGCCACCACGAGAGCUCCGCGGCCGCCGCAGCCCCGCGCGAAGCGCCGCUCCGGCCCGCGGUCGGACCCCGUGCGGGACCGCUCCGCUCGGCGCUGUGCGCGCGUUCGGGACAACGUGGGGCCCCGCGUUACUCGAAGGGACGGAGACAGAGGAGCUCCGCGAUUUUUCCGCCUUAAGCUCGCGGUCCCCGGGCGGCUGUGCGGACGUCCGCGCGUUCUGGAGCGUGCAGCCCGUCCGCGUUCGCGUGUUCUGCUGAGUUCCCGGCUGGGGGCGGGCAGGCGGGCGGCCCCGGGGGCUCGGGGGGAUCCCCGCGGGACGGGAGUUGGCUGCGCCGGCAGUGCGGGAGGCCUCGAGAGCGGCGGUCGUGGACCCCGGCUGCGGGUGAGCUUCCCGCGGCCGCUGGAGGCGAUGAUCGCUCCGCGGCCCGGCCCGGCCCGGCCCGGCCCGACCCGGCCCGGCCCGGCCCCGAGCGCAGCCUGCCCCCUGCCGGCGCGUGGAGGCACGACCCGGAGCGCCGCGGGAGCUGCGGUGCCGGGAGCGGACCGGGGUCAGCCGGGGCGAGGCGAGCUCGGGACUCCCGUGGUCGGCGGACGCGAUCCCGGGGCUGCCCGUGCGGAGCUGCCCGCGCCGCCCGUCCCCGUUGCCACGGCCGUGCGACGCGCGGACAGUGAUGGGGCUGCGGGGUUCGGCGGCUUUGUUUUUUUCUCCCCUCGCAGCGGCGCUGCGCGCCCCGCACGGCCUCGGCAUCGACCAUCGCUGCGCGGGGAGCAGCCCGCUGCGGGGCGGUCUCAGCGGGGAAGCUGCGGCCCGGGCACCGACAGCCAGGGAGACCGCGGAGUCCCCGAGCCGCCCCGUCGGGCCCUGAGGCUCUGAGCCGCUCUGCCGUCCGCCCACUUUUUCGCAGCGCACUGAGGGGCCACUCGGAGCGGCUGGCGGGUGCGCCCGGCGCUGACGGAUGUAGCCCGCGCUGCCUCCCUCGGAAGGAUAAAUGUAAGCGAGC